UACGUAGGGUGCGAGCGUUAAUCGGAAUUACUGGGCGUAAAGCGUGCGCAGGCGGUUCGUUAAGUCAGAUGUGAAAGCCCCGGGCUCAACCUGGGAACUGCAUUUGAAACUGGCGGGCUUGAGUAUGGCAGAGGGGGGUGGAAUUCCGCGUGUAGCAGUGAAAUGCGUAGAGAUGCGGAGGAACACCGAUGGCGAAGGCAGCCCCCUGGGCCAAUACUGACGCUCAGGCACGAAAGCGUGGGGGAGCAAACAGG
rnacentral:rRNA from 1 species